GAUGAACGCUGGCGGCGUGCCUAACACAUGCAAGUCGAGCGAACGGACGAGAAGCUUGCUUCUCUGAUGUUAGCGGCGGACGGGUGAGUAACACGUGGAUAACCUACCUAUAAGACUGGGAUAACUUCGGGAAACGGGAGCUAAUACCGCAUAAGCUCUUGAUCCGCAUUGUUCAUAAGUGAAAGACGGUCUUUCUGUCACUUAUAGAUGCAUCUGCGCUGCAUUAGCUAGUUGGUAAGGUAACGGCUUACGAAGGCAACGAUGCAUAGCCGACCUGAGUGAGUGAUAGGCCACCCUGGCAGUGAGACAGAGUCCAGACUCCUGCGGGGAGCCGCAGUCGGGAAUCUUCCGCAAUGGGGGAGAGCCUGACGGAGCAACGCGGCGUGAGUGAUGAAGGUCCGCGGAUCGUAAGACGCUGUUAUUAGGGAAAAACAUAUGUGUAAGUGACUGUGCACAUCUUGACGGUACCUAAUAAGAAAGCAACGGCUAACUACGUG
rnacentral:rRNA from 1 species